rnacentral:misc_RNA from 1 species
AAGUCGUAACAAGGUCUCCGUUGGUGAACCAGCGGAGGGAUCAUUACGAAUGGGUCCAAAGACUCUUAAAACCUACCGUGCUCCCCUACGUGGAAAACAGGAAAGCCCUCCGGGGCAUAGGAAAUCUGAAAAGUUGAAGAACUGCGCCCCGGCGCAUGACUAAACAAAAAAAUUACAACCCAUAACAAUGGAUCUCUUGGCUCUG